rnacentral:rRNA from 1 species
AAGCUCGUAGUUGAAUUUCGAGAUCAGUACGCUGGUCGUGCCUUCGGUAUGCACUGGUGUCACUGGUUUCUCCCUUCUGAAGAACCGUCAUGUCAUUAAGUUGAUGUGGCGGGGAAUCAGGACUGUUACUUUGAAAAAAUUAGAGUGUUUAAAGCAGGCUCGCGCUUGAAUACAUUAGCAUGGAAUAAUGAAAUAGGACGUUUGACCCUAUUUUGUUGGUUUCUAGGAUCGACGUAAUGAUUAAUAGGGAUAGUUGGGGGCAUUAGUAUUCAAUUGUCAGAGGUGAAAUUCUUGGAUUUAUUGAAGACUAACUACUGCGAAAGCAUUUGCCAAGGAUGUUUUCAUUAAUCAAGAACGAAAGUUAGGGGAUCGAAGACGAUCAGAUACCGUCGUAGUCUUAACCAUAAACUAUGCCGACUAGGGAUCGGAUGAUGUUAAUUUUUUAAUGACUCAUUCGGCGCCUUACGGGAAACCAAAGUGUUUGGGUUCCGGGGGGAGUAUGGUCGCAAGGCUGAAACUUAAAGGAAUUGACGGAAGGGCACCACCAGGGGUGGAGCCUGCGGCUUAAUUUGACUCAACACGGGAAAACUCACCAGGUCCAGACAUAGUUAGGAUUGACAGAUUGAGAGCUCUUUCUUGAUUCUAUGGGUG